GCCUCGGUGGAUCAUGGUGGAUCGUCCCCGUUACUUUAUCCAACGCCGAUCCUACAGUGGGAAGAUGGGGGUUCGAAUCCCUCUCGAGGCA